rnacentral:sRNA from 1 species
GCAGGCUAUGAUAAUUUGCUCACAAUGCGGUGAAUCCCCCUGUGCGGCGGGGCAUGGCCACAGGUUAUGGUUUAAAAAAGCAGCGAAAAGGAUUGUGGCCGUCCUUUUCACCGGGAGGCACCCGGCACCGCAACAAAAUUCAAAUAGGUAAAAAAGAUCCCGCACAUCCUAAACAAAGGGAAUGUGCGGGUAGAAAC